rnacentral:rRNA from 1 species
UGAAGUAAGUAAGGGCGUACGGUGAAUGCCUUGGUGCCAACAGGCGAAGAAGGACGCGGCAAGCUGCGAAAAGCCUCGGGAAGCUGCAAGCAAGCGAUGAUCCGGGGAUAUCCGAAUGGGGUAACCUGAUCGAGGCAAUACUCGAUCGUUCAUACCUGAAUACAUAGGGUAUGAAACGCGAAACCCGCUGAAGUGAAACAUCUCAGUAAGCGGAGGAAAAGAAAGAGAAAUCGAUUCCGUAAGUAGUGGCGAGCGAAAGCGGAUGGAGCCCAAACCGAAGGUAUUCCUUCGGGGUUGUAGGACCACGUCAUAUUCGACCAUACUGGAUAGUAGAACAGCCUGGAAAGGCUGGCCGGAGAAGGUGAAAGCCCUGUAGACGAAAUCCAGAGUGGGAAUUAGUGGUAUCCUGAGUAAUACAUCACACGUGGAACGAUGUAUGAACCCGCGCGGACCACCGCGCAAGGCUAAAUACUAGUUGGCGACCGAUAGUGAACAAGUACCGCGAGGGAAAGGUGAAAAGAACCGCUGUGAGCGGAGUGAAAUAGAACCUGAAACCGUAUGUCUACAAAGUGUCAGAGCAGAGCAAUCUGCGAUGGCGUGCCUUUUGUUUAAUGAGUCUGCGAGUCAGUGUUUGUGGCAAGACUAAGGGCUUCCGGCCCGGAGUCGCAGCGAAAGCAAGUCCGAACAGGGCGCAAUAAGUCGCAGGUACUGGACCCGAAGCGGAGGUGACCUACCCUUGGCCAGGUUGAAGCAUGGGUAAAACCAUGUGGAGGACCGAACAGGUGAACGUUGAAAAGUUCUCUGAUGAGCUGAGGGUAGGAGUGAAAGGCUAAUCAAACCCCGUGAUAGCUGGUUCUCUUCGAAAUGCAUUUAGGUGCAGCGUCACGUGCUGAUGCGCGGGGGUAGAGCACUGACAAGGCUAGGGGGCACACCCGCUUACCAAACCUUAUCAAACUCCGAAUACCGUGCAAUGGAACGUGGCAGUGAGACAGUGGGGGAUAAGCUUCAUUGUCGAGAGGGAAACAACCCAGACCAGCAGCUAAGGUGCCUAAAUAACGCUCAGUGGAAAGGAUGUGGGAUUACACAGACAGUGAGGAUGUUGGCUUAGAAGCAGCCACCAUUUAAAAAAUGCGUAAUAGCUUACUCAUCGAGUGAUCCUGCGCCGAAAAUGAUUGGCGAUCAAGCGUUAUACCGAAGCUCUGGACUUUGCCGCAAGGCAGAGUGGUAGAAGAGCGUUGCAUGCGCGUCGAAGGGCGAUGGCGACUGACCCUGGAGCACAUGCAAGUGAGUAUGCAGACAUGAGUAACGUUAAGCCGGGUGAAAUCCCCGGCCGCCGUAAACCCGAGGUUUCCAGGGCAACGUGUUUCGUCCCUGGGUUAGCCGGGACCUAAGCCGAGGCCGAGAGGCGUAGGCGAUGGACAUCAGGUUAAUAAUCCUGAGCUCGCAACCCUUAAACUGGGGGGACGCAUGAGAAAAGAUGACUAGGUUAUUGAAUUCCGAGUUGAGUCUACGGACUCAGCGCAUCAUUGGAUCGAGUGCCAAGAAAAGCCCCAGCGUAUGCUAAGCGACCCGUACCGCAAACCGACACAGGUGGGUGGGUAGAAUAUACCAAGGCGUAAGAGUGAAACCUGGUUAAGGAACUCGGCAAAUUAGCCCCGUAACUUCGGAAGAAGGGGUGCCUGCAGCGAUGCAGGCCGCAGAGAAAUGGCCCAACCGACUGUUUAUCAAAAACACAGCACUCUGCAAAGACGCAAGUCGAAGUAUAGGGUGUGACACGUGACCAAUGCCGAAAGAUUAAGGCAAGGGGUUAGCCGCAAGGCGAAGCUCUAAACCCAAGUCCCGGUGAAUGUCGGCCGUAACUAUAACGGUCCUAAGGUAGCGAAAUUCCUUGUCGGGUAAGUUCCGACCUGCACGAAUCGUGAAACGAGUUGGGCACUGUCUCAACCAGGCGCUCAGUGAAAUUGUAGUGGCGGUGAAGAUGCCGCCUACCCGCAGAAGGACGGAAAGACCCUAUAGACCUUAACUGUAAGCUGUCAUUGUUUCUUCGGUUUUAAUGCUCAGAGUAAGUGGGAGACGCUGAAGACGCCCUUUAGGGGGCGUCCGAGUCAUCAAUGAGACACCACCCUUUGAAACUGGAGGAUCUAACCCUGAGCCGUGAAUCCGGCCAGAGGACCGUGUCAGCCGGUCAGUUUUACUGGGGCGGUAUCCUCCCAAAGAGUAACGGAGGAGCGCGAAGGUGGGCUCAGCCCGGUUGGCAACCGGGUGUCGAGUGCAUGGGCAUAAGCCCGCCUAACUGUGAGACCAACAAGUCGAGCAGAUGCGAAAGCAGGCCCAAGUGAUCCGGCGGUAGAAAGUGGAAUUGCCGUCGCUCAACGGAUAAAAGGUACCUUAGGGAUAACAGGCUGAUCACGCCCAAGAGUUCAUAUCGACGGCGUGGUUUGGCACCUCGAUGUCGGCUCGUCGCAUCCUGGGGCUGGAGCAGGUCCCAAGGGUUCGGCUGUUCGCCGAUUAAAGCGGCACGCGAGCUGGGUUCAGAACGUCGCGAGACAGUUCGGUCCUCUAUCCUCUGUGGGCGUUGGAAAAUUGAGGGGUUCAGACCUUAGUACGAGAGGACCGGGUCUGACGCACCACUGGUGCAUCGGUUGUACUGUCAAGUGCAUGGCCGAGUAGCUAAGUGCGGACGGGAUAAGCGCUGAAAGCAUCUAAGCGCCAAGCCCUUCCCAAGAUGAGUUUUCCCUACAGGUUCGUGGAAGACCACCACGUUGAUAGGUCGCAGGUGUAAGUGCAGCAAUGUAUUGAGCCGAGCGAUACUAAUUACCAAUUGACUUCAUCAU